rnacentral:lncRNA from 1 species
CUGUCCCCACCAAGUCCUCCAGCCAUCUGCACCUGGAUUGUGUCCCCUCCAGGGAAAGUGGAGCUGUUGGUGCUCCUCACCCUGACUCCUUUCACUUGUAUUUUGGGUCCCAUUGCUUCUUGCACAUUCCUGCAACCAUCUCUUGUCUUCUGUGUCCUGAAUUUCUGCCUGUUGGCCUGCAGAAGGCUCCGUCACCCAUCCUGAAAAGCAAGUUCUCCCUCAGUGCAGACUCCCUUCUAGCUUCUGCCACAUCCCUCUCUUCUGCCUCUUUCUGCUUAGCCCUACGCACUCAGUCCUUCAUCCUGUUCCCCAUGGAGGCUGUUCUUUUCUUGCUGUAUCUUGCUGCUUUCUUGCCAAAUCCAGUGGCCGGUUCUGUUUUCCUUUCAUUGGAUCUCCCAGUGGAGGUGGUUGAGGUGGUUGUUUUUGGCCUUUUUACAGCUUUCUCCUCUAAGCUUCUGUGCCACUAACGUCUCCUGAUUGUUUUCCUCCUACUUCAUGAGCUGGUCCUUCUUGGCCUUUUUGGCUGGAUCCUUCUUUGAAUAUUGAUCACCCACCAGGUUCCUCUCUAACUGCACUAACCCUUUCCUCUCCCCGCCACGUGACUUCUCCCAGCCCUGGGUUUUCCAUUCCACCGUACAUCACUGACCGCCUUGAACCACACAGGUCCAGAGGGCACCUAGGUUCUUCCCCCUCCUCCCCUACCUGCUGUUCCCUCAUCUUAACCAUCACUACGCAGUUACUCCAGCCUCUCACGUGGAAGUCAGCUGUCUUUCCCUCCUUGAGCCUAUUAAGUCUUGUAAGUUCUACUUCUAAAAUAUGUCUCAGGCCAGGCUACUUGCCGUCACCUCCACUGCUACCAUCCCGAUCAUGCCACCAUCAUCCUGGCAUCUGCUCCAGCCUCGACCCACACAGCAGCCUGAGAAAGCUUUUAAAAAUAUAAAUCAGAUCGUGUCCCUCCCCUGCAGAAAACUUUCUUGGGUCUUCCAUUGGCGCUCAGAUUAAAUUCUAGAAUUCUCACGCGGGCUGACGACAUUCCCUGGGAUUGGGAUCCCAUCCCACCCUCAUUUGUUGACUCUGUUUCAUUUGUUGCUGCACACUUCUGGGCCUCAAAUACCCAGGUUCUCUCCAGCUUCCAGGCCUUGGAGGUUGUUAGCCAUUGUUUCUCUGCCUGGGUUUUUCUACCCUGGAUCCUGGCAAGCUACCUUUCUUCACACAGGACAAGAAUCCCUGAGGAGACCUUCCCUAAGCCCCUAGGCCAAGGCAUCCCCUUUUGUGUUCUUGCCAUCACUUGACCUCCUACCUUGCUGCCCUUCAAAGCCGGUCACCACCCACAAUGCCUUUUCCCCUGUCGAUCACUCACCCUGUCUUUCUCCUCAGUUCUGUAUCCCCAGUGCUCAGCACAGUACCUCACACACAGGCACUGAGCAGAUAAACGUCUGUUGAAUGAAUGAAAGGAGACUAUCUGAGCUCAGGCUGCUUUAACGAAACACCGCAGACUGGUUUCUCACAGUCCUGGAUGCUGGGAAGUCCAAGAGCAAGACGCUGGCAGAUUCAGUUCCUGGUGAGGGCCCUCUUCCUGGCCUGUAGACAGCUGACUUCUUGCUACAAAUUCACAUGACCUUUCCUCAGUACCUGCUCGGAGAGGGACAUUUCUUUCUUCCUCUUCUUAUAAGCCACUAAUCCCAUCAUAUGGGCCCCACCUCAUGACCUAAUCUAAAUCUAAUUACCUUCCAAAGGUCCACCUCCAAAUGCCAUCACACUGGGGUUGGGGCUUCAACAUACGAAUUCUGGGGGGACAGAAACAUUCAGCCCAUAACAGGGACCAAUGAUAACAUCCAACUCUAGUUUACCAGAAAGAAUAGGUAAGCUGAAGAACAACCAUGCAGCAGGAGGACAAAGAGAACCUCUUGGCCUUGCUCCCCUCUCUUAGCUCUAGAAGGGGCAGCUGUGCCCUGCUCCCUUCCCUCUGGUCAGAUUUGUGC